rnacentral:rRNA from 1 species
CGAGGAAUAUUGCACAAUGGAGGCAACUCUGAUGCAGUAACGCCGCGUGAGGGAAGAAGAUUUUCGGAUUGUAAACCUCUUUUUGUAGAGACGAGUGAGGACGGUAUCUAUAGAAUAAGUCUCGGCUAACUACGUGCCAGCAGCCGCGGUAAGACGUAGGAGGCGAGCGUUAUCCGGAUUCACUGGGCGUAAAGCGCAUGUAGGCGGUUGUGCAAGUCGUGUGUUAAAGCCCCCGGCUCAACUGGGGGAGGUCAUGCGAAACUGUGCGACUUGAGGGCAGGAGAGGAACGUGGAACUCCCGGUGUAGCGGUGGAAUGCGUAGAGAUCGGGAAGAACACCAGUGGCGAAGGCGACGUUCUGGUCUGCACCUGACGCUGAGAUGCGAAAGUGUGGGUAGCAAACG